GUGUGUUUGCUCCCCUGUGUAGCCAGAGCAGCAGCAGCAGCGCACUUAGCAUGGGCUUUAAAUAGCUAACUCAAAUAAAGUGAGAGGAGGCCGGGGAUCAGAGGCUGAGAGGGACUCUGUGAGGGAGGCAUUCCCAAACGGAAGCCGGCCUUUGGAUUUCCAAACAGCAUUCGGAGCGAGCAAUGCCAGGAAUGUGAUGUCGUCCAGCAGCAGUGGCGGCGGCGGCGGCAGCUGUGAAAACCACCGGGCCGCCAGGUGCUGGUAGGCCGCCUGACAGGAAGUGCAGCAGGAAGUGCAAGCAGAGGUCCAGCUAGGGGACAAAAUGGCGGCAGGUGACUCAGCAGAGAAGAGGGCAGGAGCUGGCUGAAGGUUGCGACCGUGCAGAAGCAGAACUCCUAUCAUCCCCGAAAUCUCUGAACCACUAAAAAAAGGGACGACUCCCCCUCCGAAAGAGCCUCUUUCUCAUCGACUAACUGCUCUCCUGCACUUUGCCUCCUUUUUUACACACUGUGUUAAAUUUCUAUUCUUUCUCAUCCUUUUUACCUUUUGACGACCUUCUUUGUAUGCAGGCUGUGGGAAAGUUUCCCGUAAUGGACUGCAGGACUGUCAUGUGUCCCCAUGUCUCUGUCCCACUUCCAGUUCCUCAGCUCCCUCCACAGAGACCAGGAACCUGAAUAGAGCCUCAUUCAAAACUGGUAUCCGAUGAUCUGGCCUCCUCGAAAGUCUCAACCAACACACAGGAGCUGGAGACAGACAGAUCAGCAGAUCUGUGAGGCUCCUGGACCCUGACAUUGCCAAGAUUUUUCAAGAGAGGAUGGUUCUCCCUGCCUGCAUGCGAUGACCUGCUCAGCUCCAUCUGCAACUGAUUCUCGGAAUAAAACCAGGGUGAUUAUAAAAGCGAGAAGAGAGACAGAGAGAACAACAUUAUCCAUCCAGAAACUUUGUGUUUGUGAAACACCUUCAGGUUCUGUGCAUUGUAGUGAGAACUCAUCCAGACUUGGAUUCAGUGUGCAGUGUGUGUGUGAUGUGGUGGCUGAUUACUGCCAUCUAUUGGCAAAAUCAUGAACUGUAGAGUUUAAAGGUUCAGUUCACCCCAUAUUACCUCCAUAUAAUCUAUACAUGCAGAUAGUUUUGGUUAUUGUUUUGGUUCCAGGUUCAUUUGUGGUGCUCAGAGUGAAAUGAAGGAUGACUUAAUCUCAUCAAAUCCAGCAAAAAAAGAGAAAAACCAACUAUAAACGGAUCCUGCUAACAAGUAUUGUAUCAUUCUUGUCCAAAAACUAACAACACACCAAUGUGCCACACUGUUGUUCCUCCAUCACCAUGAACACACACACACUGCAGUCCCACAUACACACUACAGCACUGGUUCCCAACCUCCAAAAAAUGUUGUAAGGGGUGUAAGAAAAUGUAUAAAUAAAAUAAACUAUACACA